AAAUACUAAUAAAUGUUUGAAUUGAUACUUUUGUUUCUAAAUUGUAUAUAUUAUUUUCAAGAUAUAUGUGUUUUUUUUUCAAGAAUUAAAAAAAAAAAAAAGUAAUAAAUAUUUCCAAAAAGACAUUAUGUGGUAAGGUAACAGGGAAAAGGUCUUGUUCCUGGCCAUCAGGAAGAUAACAGCAGUUCUGCUUUCCAGAACCUUGGAAGAGAUAAUGAGGCAGACAUAUCUGUGGAUGAUUGUGUUGCGAAGGUAGAAGUCUGAACUCUCAUGCUGUGUCUGCACAUGACAGCUGAAAAGGAAAUGCUAGGUACUCAGGACACUCUCACAGAAAAGGUCUGUAGCUGGGCACAAAAAUUGCUGCCUGCCAGAUACGAGUAGGCAAUAAAGUUAUGCCUGAUAUCAGACCUGAAUAUUUAUCUUACUAUAAUUUAAGAUAUUCUUAAGAAACUGAAAUGGUUGACAAGUUCUAAGCAGGAUUUAGUUACAAGCACCAGCAGUAAAAGUUCUUCAGCUGUGUGACUUUGCCUGAGUCCUCUCCUACCUCCUUUCUCUUACCUUGUAUGUGGCUUGGCACUACUUGCCAUCUCAGUUCAGAUCUGCUUUCUCUAACUCUUCAAGCUCUGGUUCCAAAGGAUCCUCUGAAGAUCAGUACUGUGUAUUUUAUGAGAAAGAGGACUCAGUGGAAUAUUAUUCUGAUCCCUAGAAGAUUCCUCAGACUGAGGAGAUUGAAGAAGGGAGUGGACACUGAUACCAAGAAGUGAACAGGAGAGAUGGACAAACAUCCUAAGGCAUCAGCCUAUGCUCUUCUGCAUAAAUUGUUUGUUGUUUUACCAAGAUCACCAUAUAGACGCAUCUGAAAAAAAAAUAAAUAAUAAUAAUAAUAAAAUUAAAUAUAACA
rnacentral:lncRNA from 1 species